rnacentral:rRNA from 1 species
UGCCUCACGAAUUCCAAAAUGAGAGGUCCAUCCUGCCCGGUGACCUGAGGGUUUAACGGCCGCGGUACCCUGACCGUGCUAAGGUAGCGUGAUAAGUUGCCCUUUAAUUGGGGGCUUGUAUGAACGGACACACGAGGGUUUAGCUGUCUCUUUUAUAGACCUGGAAAUUAACCUUUAGGUGAAGAAACCUAAAUAAACACAAAGGACAAAAAGACCCCAUAGAGCUUUGUUUUAUUUUAUCUUAUUAAAAAAAUUUAUUUAUAACUCUUACUUUUAAUAAAUAAAUAAACUUAACUGGGGCGGUUGAAGAAAAAACAAACUUCUUUUCAAUAGAAUUAUAAACACAUAAAGAUUUAACAUAUCCUACAUAUAAACUUGAGCCUAAUAUGUUUGCUAAAACUUUUAUAAUUAAUAAAUAAUAUUUUAAAUUCUACUUAGCGCCACUUAUAGAUCAAAGGAAAAGCUACCUUGGGGGUAACAGAUUAAUCCUUCUUAAGAGUCCAUAUUGACAGAAGGGUUUGACACCUCGAUGUUGGCUUAGGGAACCCAAAGGGUCAGCAGAAGCCCUUAAAGGUAGGUUUGUUCAACCUUAAAAACCCU